rnacentral:lncRNA from 1 species
UUAAUUAAUAUCAUUAAUCAAGUUAUACAUCAUAUGAAACCAUUCUCUUAAGACUCAAAGUAUGACAUAACAUACUAUAACAUCAACAACAUCUUGCAGCGGAAAGUAGCUAGACAUAUGUAUGAAGACAUAUUCUAGACAGGUUAACUAUUUAUUAACAACCCUGGAGACUCCGCUCAUUGCAGCACCAUCAUCACAUCAGCUCAACCUGCACAUUUAGAAAACAUAUGCAGGGCUGAGUACAAAAGCACUCAGUGGGCACGUAUGCCUAGGUAUAAAAAUACAUGCUUCAAAACUUAAAUUGUCAUGCCAUCAUAACAGUACAGCAAGGGAGUUUUUCGCUAAAAAGGCCAAGCUUACUAAGUUCAUUUGUGAUUCUUAAAGUUCGUCUGAUCAGACUAAGUUCUUUUGUAAUCUAUCAUAUCUGAAACUGUGUGCCGGAGAGGUGGCCACCUCUCACGGUCACUUGACCGGCCAACCCGCUAGAUGACUCACGGUCACUGGUGUACACUAGCCCUGGCAGGAUAGCUAUCAACUGCUCAGGACCCGAAUUCGAUUGCAUCAUUGGCAAAGCCAAAGCAGAUAGAUAUCAUACUAAAAUUAAACAUUUUAUGGCAAGACAAUAUUGAAAUAACUUUAACUAAAGAUUUUGUCAUGAAAUAACUUGCUAAGUACAUUUAAACUCUUUAUAAUUAUAAACUAAAUAAAUUAGAUCAUCUCAUGCAUUCAUUCGUAUAAGAGGCCUACGACAGCAGGGGAUCUCUAUAUACGUAUAGUAAAAGUAAUGCCCACCUCGUUGUGUCUCUGUAUCAAUGAGUAACGUCACUCUCUCCCUCAAGUCGUUACUUCCCAAAAGGACCUUCAUCGUUAUGAAGAAUUGGUGAGAAGUUAUAAAAGAAACCUCGAUUAAUAAUCUAAUCUCUUUUAUGAAACAUUAGAAUCCUAAUGUUCAUCUCUCUUGAUUGUUAAUCAAUAUAACAAUUAUUAUCUCUCGUCAUUACUCAUUAAUUAUAACAUCCUUAUGUUAUAAUUAGCAGCGCUUCAAUUAAAAGAAAUAUUUAACACAUCGAAAAGUCCACUUUCUUAGCAGAUCUAUUCGCUCUCAUCUCGUCUAAUUAACCGAUUAGAAAGUUAAACUUUCCAUUAGGCAUGUAUUUGAGUCACGGGUCAACAAGAAUUGACUAUGCUCAAAUUCUAAUUUCACUAAAAUUUCGGACAUGACCUAUUCAUAUAUAAUGUAGCCACGAGAUUUCAACGCGUGAAUCUCACUACGUGAACUCGUCUCUCGACUCAAAACUUAACAUCUUGACAUCUUUUCAACGCAAACCAAACAAUUCAAAAUCAUCAAAACUCUUUAUCAGUAAACUAUCAUUUAUACUCGACACCAAUUGUUCGAGUGUCAGAUACCAACAUUUAUGUGCGUUAAAUCAUAACUACUCACAACUCACACCAUUUAGUCAUAUCGUAUCAUCCAUCAAAACAAAUAUAAUCAAGUUGUUUUCUAGAAAGUUUUGCUGUUUUUGUGUCAUCUUUAAAAAUUCAUAACAACCAACUCAAUCAUCAUAAACUCUCAUACCAAUUGCUCUCAAAAACUUCAUGAAGUGUAGUUCACUCUAAAAAUGGUAGUUAACCAAAAAGGUUAAAGGUUUUUGGAGAUAUUGCUCUUUUAGUGCAGGCUGUCAAAGAUUGACAGUUUCUGCCAAUUUUGUUUAGGCCAUUAGAAACCAAGGCAAACCUUAAUAAAAUUCCAUCAAAUUUAAUCAGCCAAAACUAAAGGUAUCCUUGAAGAUUUGGUUAAAAUUUCACAAGAGAAAACGUUCAUAUGAUCUGCCAAAUAAACAAUGAAACUCAUACACUUUUACUGUUGGAAAAAUAUGACAGCAGAACAGGGCAUUUUUGAAAUAAUAAACUGCUCUGUUUCAGAGGUCAUAAAAAUCGAAAUCUUAUGUUUUUAGAAAAGUAUUGAAGUCUAGUUUCGUUUAAAAAAAACGGUGAUGCAAAAUCCUUCAUGGAUUAAUAGAUAUAAACGUUUUUGUGAAGUCUACCAACAGUUGACAGAUUCUGUCAAGGAUUUUUCAAAAUAUCUUUAAAAUAGCAAACCUCAUCCAAAAGACAUGAAAUUUUGCAGCGACGAAAUACACAUAUCAUAGAUAAACAUACUAAAAUUUCAGAGCCAUCAAGCAAUGAAAACUCAUCGAAACAUAAGCUUGAAACUGCUGUAAAAUUUUGACAGAAUUCCAGUUUAAUUCGUCAACAAUUAUCAUCCAUAAAUUGUAAAUCAAUUAGCAUGCUCAUGUGAUAUCGUAGAACACAUAUACGCAAUAAUAUUCAUUAUGCAACAUCCCAAACUUCACGAAUUUAAAUAAUCAUACUCUAAAAACUUAUACAAUUUUCGUGCUUGAAAAAAUACGAAUUUAAUAUAUAUCGAUUCUAGCAUACCCCUAAGCACAAAUAUCAAGUCAAAACGAUCAAACAAAAAUCGAAAGACAAGCUAAUGUGUGAAAAACGGGGCUGCCCUCAUGAGUUUCAUAGCUACGGUUCAUUCCGUUCUUACUCUCUUCAUUAAACAUGCUCGACAUCUACCCAAGAACAACAUACUAAAAUUUCACGACGAUCCGACGUCGUUUCAAAAUAAAGUCGAGAAUCGACAUUUUUCGACGUCGACGAAAAUCGAAAAGAAAACCAUGAAAUCGUAGGUAGAGAUGUUACCUACGUAAAAACGUGAUCAAAAAGAUGAUCGGCGCUCGUCUCGGUGCUCAAAUCGGAGCUCAAAAGCUUGAAGAAGCUUUAAUGGAGGGAGUGUGUGUUCUUGGUGUUUGUGUGUGAGAGAGAAAAGAUGAUUGGAGUGUGU